GGAAGCCAGGACCGCGAGGGGGGGAGAAUAGGUGGGUGUCGAGGGUGAACCGGAAUGAUGAGGAGGAAGGCGUGGGGAGGCGGCGUGUUAAGUCGGAUGUGAAAUCCCACGGCGCAACCGGGGAACUGCAUUGGAAACUGUCAGGCUAGAGGCAGGUAGGGGGGGGCGGAAUUCCCGGGGUAGCGGUGAAAUGCGAAGAUAUCGGGAGGAAUACCAGUGGCGAAGGCGGAUCUCUGGGCCAGACCUGACGCUCAGGCACGAAAGCUAGGGGAGCGAACAGGAUUAGAUACCCUAGUAGUC
rnacentral:rRNA from 1 species